rnacentral:lncRNA from 10 species
AAAGGAAUGACCAACAUUCUGGUAAUAUUUUUGAAGUGAAACAAUUUCACGGUGUAUGAAGGCCUUGAACGUGCUUUGCUGUCUUUCUAUCGUUUUACGUGUAACAUGACAAGGCGUAAGGCCUGCAUUGGCGUCACCCUCAGCCCGUCCUUCUUUCCUUUGGAUCAAGGACUCUGACUUUCAGGCCGUCAGCUGCUCUGCUUUCAGAGGUGAUAAAUUACUUUGGAAAGAAUUACUCCCUUGCCUCUUGCAAAAACAAGACAUAGGCGGGUGUUAAUUCAUACUUGAGGGUUAUCAAUGGAAAAGUAUAAACGUAUGGCCCUGUUUCCACAAGGACAGGCAUGAUUGAGGGCCGGCAGGAUCUAGGAGCUUCCAUCAGGCCUUUGACAAAGAGCCCUCGCUCGGGGGUCACCGCGUGUCAGGAGGGGCUGAGUUACCGCUUCUCAUCUUCCACUUGCACCCCGACAGAGUGGUAUUCCCGCAGACCGCGGCUCUCCGUGUCAGAAUCUGUGGCCGUUUCCACCUAAUUCAACAGAGAACGUCUUAUUUUAGAACUGAAACAUGGGGCCUGGGCAAGGGACUAUUUUGUUGUUGUUGUGGAUUUGCUGUAAUUAAUUACGCAUUUGUUUAAUUAAUGCAGCGGUGCACUUGACCCAGUAAAACCGCAGAGAGGGAAAUGCAUUCACACUGGAGUAAUUACAUCACUCCUGCGUCUCAUCACAUUUUACAUAACUACCUGAACUCAAGGCUGCAGUUUGGUCUUCUAAAUGUAUGCAAAUAAAACUGCUUAGUUCAGCUCAGGCAAAAAAUAGGUGUUGUUGAACUGCAUUAUAACAGGACUUAAAAGCUCUUAUCACGCCCUAUGGUGAAGAAAGUACAGCAUGAACCAAACACAGCUAAUGACAACAAAUAAGCGAUUUAAAAGACUUAUACUGAUGGCUGCAUCCACGUACAGAAAGACACAGAAAGGAAUUUCAGCACUGAUCAGAAACAGAGGCAAACUCUCCACCUUCAUCUCCAUAGAGCUGUCUCACGUCUGCUAAGAGGAUGGCCAGCAGGGUGACGUCAGAUCAGAACAGAAAUCAUGUAUUCCACAGAGAAUUCUGAUUGUGGCUGUAUUUGCCAAAAAGUCCCCACAAACCCAACAAGCCUUGCAAUGAUCAUCAGCUAUGUGAAGUUAUCCCACAAGGGAAUUCUAGUACAGUACGUUCUCUAAAAAAAAAAAAACAAAACCAAACCAAGUAGGAAAACUGUGAAACCAAAGGUUAGUUAAGCCAUUGAUAUGAUUCCAGGCACUCAGUCAUUCCUCUUUCCAGAAAAGUAUUACCUAUUGUAUCAAAAGGACUUUUGAGCCCUCUCUGAAGUGUCAUAGCUAAGUUAUAAAAUCUCUCCCUUCUUAAAAAUAUUACUGAUCACUACAAGGAAAAGGUGCAAAGCAUGAAAUAUUUCUGACCCUGUCCCCUGUGAGGCAAGAGAGAGGAGCUGCACGUUAACAUUUGAGUUGCCCUUUGUGACUAUCCUAAGGUUAAGCCUGUGUCAACGAGGACUGGCUCAGAUUUGUGGCUAAGAGAGGUACUGAUGGUAACAGCGAAGACUUAUUUGGUGCGUACCCUGCGCCAGGCACUAGGCUGAGGUUCCAGCGUUAUCACGUGUACUCCACACAAUAACCCCAAGGAUGUUUCCAGCCCCAGGAGAGAGCUGGCGGAUCAGAGGAGGGGGGUGACUUGCUCAGGAGCGCGCCCUGGUUGGGGUCAGGGCUAGGGCUCUUGCCGGGAUCUCUCUGACCCCAGAGCCGGGUGCCGCACAGAAGACAGAGCGCGAGAAAACCCUGGAGCUCUCGGCCGCCGCCGUGGAUCCAGGGGAACGGACAGAGACGUCCACUUUCACCGGGUGUAAUUCUGAAGACAGGCGCAGAAGCGGUCCCGAGACUGGGAUGCGUGUUUGCAGAAGCUGACCCUAGACUGGGAUGCGUGUUCUGAUAGCUGGGUGAGACGGGCUACAGGAGGAAGAACAUUCUUGAGUGAAGAUCCUGGCCUUCCUGUCAGAAUUUACCAUUCCCGUUUCUAGUGUUAAGUGGGUCACGACUUUAUUAAACCUUACCUUGCUCGACAUAAACAUGAUCAGUGUUAUUUUACGCAAAGGAUUGUAAUACAAUUAAUACAUUUAAAAUUCCAUGUCUGUACAUAUGGAGCUGCCUCGUGUUUUAAGUGCAAAGGAUUCCAUUUUAUGAGUAUAGCCUAGUGCAUUUAAUGAGCCUUCAGUGCAGGGGAAAUUUGGUUAUUUCUAGUUUUCUGCCAUUAUAAAUGAUGCUGCUAUAUAAAUACAUGUCUGUACUUGUGUGAAAACUUCUCUGAAUAUAUUCACCAGACGGGAGGUCUGGGUCAGAGGUAUUUGCACUUUAUAAUUUUGGUAGAUAUUGCCAAAUCUGAUAUGAG